UACGUAGGGUGCAAGCGUUAAUCGGAAUUACUGGGCGUAAAGCGUGCGCAGGCGGCUUUGCAAGACAGAUGUGAAAUCCCCGGGCUCAACCUGGGAACUGCAUUUGUGACUGCAAGGCUGGAGUACGGCAGAGGGGGAUGGAAUUCCGCGUGUAGCAGUGAAAUGCGUAGAUAUGCGGAGGAACACCGAUGGCGAAGGCAAUCCCCUGGGCCUGCACUGACGCUCAUGCACGAAAGCGUGGGGAGCAAACAGG
rnacentral:rRNA from 1 species